rnacentral:rRNA from 1 species
GACGAACGCUGGCGGCGUGCUUAACACAUGCAAGUCGAACGGAAAGGCCCUGCUUUUGUGGGGUGCUCGAGUGGCGAACGGGUGAGCAACACGUGAGUAACCUGCCCUUGACUUUGGGAUAACUUCAGGAAACUGGGGCUAAUACCGGAUAGGAGCUCCUGCUGCAUGGUGGGGGUUGGAAAGUUUCGGCGGUUGGGGAUGGACUCGCGGCUUAUCAGCUUGUUGGUGGGGUAGUGGCUUACCAAGGCUUUGACGGGUAGCCGGCCUGAGAGUGUGACCGGCCACAUUGGGACUGAGAUACGGCCCAGACUCCUACGGGAGGCAGCAGUGGGGAAUAUUGCACAAUGGGCGGAAGCCUGAUGCAGCAACGCCGCGUGCGGGAUGACGGCCUUCGGGUUGUAAACCGCUUUCGCCUGUGACGAAGCGUGAGUGACGGUAAUGGGUAAAGAAGCACCGGCUAACUACGUG